CACGACUUCUUGAAUAUGAUCACUUAUCAAAGAAUUCCUAGUCUCCCAAAUUUGAGAAAACCCCAAUUUAAAACUUUACAAAUAUAAAAAUUAAACGUAUUAAUCUAAAUGGAUAAUAUAAUUCUUACCCAUAUUUAAUUCAUUUUUAAAAAGUUCAUUAUCCAACUCAUUUUUUAAUGGAAUACUAUGGGUAGAUAGUUGUUUUCUUUUAACCAUUUUGCCACCACUACCUCCGAUUAGUUGGAGCGGCUUCAUUAGCCCUUUACAUAAAACAAAUUUUGCACAAGCACAGACCUGACGGGCAACACUAAGACACGAUGAAUUAGAUCACCUAUAAAUAGUACAUACUUUCCGUUAUGAAUGGCCAAUUUAUCUAAUCUUUUCAUUCACCCUUAUACCUAGGUUUUCUCCUCUCAGCAAACGCAGCAAGGCCUUCUAACCGAUCUUUUGUGUCUAACAGUUGUUCAUAGCAAUCCCACUCUAAAGCUAAGGCUGACUCCAUAUCUAGCUCCACUCCUUUGUCAAUAGCACAUUUUGCCAUCUUUAACGCCACCGGACCCUGUCAGAGAAUAUAUUUUCACAGAAAAAUAAAAAAAUAUAGAAAUUUAAAAUUGCAAAAAAAAUUAAGGUAAAAGUUUUUUUUGGGGGGAGGGGAGGAUUGAGGUGGAGGGAUGAUAGGGUGGGUAGUAUUGGAAAAAUUGAAAUUUAAAGAAAAUAUAUCUUUUUUUGGAAGGGUGGGGUGGUUUAGCGAGGGUGGGAAGGUUGAGAAGAAGAUUUGUAAAAUAUUUGAAAAAUGUUUAAAGAAAAAUAUUUUCCUCCAAUUGGAGUAAAAUGAAUUAAGAAGGAAAAUAUUUUAUAAAAUAUUUAAGCCAACCAAACAUGUGAAAAUUGGAAAAUAUUUUCCUUCGUACCAAACACACCCUUCGUAUAUGGGUUUUCAUCAAUCUUAGUUGAUUGAUAGAAAAUACACAUGCAAAUUAGAAACAUGGUAAUAUACCUUAUUAAGUAAUUCUUUUUCGGACAAAAUAAGAUCAAUCAGCUGAUUAAAGUGAAAGAAACUUGCUUUAUCAUCCCAAUUAGUGUGUAAAUAACACUUUCGCUGGUCAACUUAUUAAACAUAAAAAACAUAGAACCACCAAGAUAGUAUUUUUUUCAUAAUAAAAUGAAUUCUCAAGAACUCAAAAAUAAUGAAACCUUAGUUUUCUGAGAAACCCCAGAAAAGAUUUAGCUCACGAAAAGAAAAAAACGAACAGAUUGACAAAAAGUAAAUGCUAAGAAGCAAAAUAAAGGGGUACCUGAUUCAUGACAUCAGGGUUAGCUUCAAGAGGAAGCCAUCUCUUAGCACCAACACUUUCAGCCAUGGAUUAUUCACUCUUGCUCUCUCUCUGUCUCUCUCUUAGGAAGUACAGGUAGCGGGUAAUGUGGCACUCUGGAAUGCUCUCUUCCCUAUAUAGGUUUUGGAAAAGUUUUGUGAUGGGUCAUGGGUUUAUCAAAAAAAAAAUCUGCCUUUCUUGCUUCAUUUUUUCCAUUUUCCAAUUCUUAGCCAAUUUAUAAAUUUUGACAUACAUUUGGAGAUACCUUUCUAAAAAAAAUGGAAAAUAUUAUUUGUUUAUGAAAUUUGAUUAGUUUUUAAAUUUUUAUCUUUCAAGUUUCAAAAACUAGCUUUGGAUGAAUCUUUUUAUUCCAUUCCCAAAACUUCUAGUUUUUUCUCAAGUAAAACAUAUGUCCAAAUACAACUUCAACUUUUAAAAUUAUUUAUCAACACAACUUAAAAACUCUUUUUUAAAAUUUCAACCAAAUCCAUGUCCAAGCCCCUACUUAAUAUGACCCUUUUAAUUGGAGAAAUCAAACAUAUCCAAAAUUGGAAAUAAGUAAACUUGUGUUUUUUUGGGUGAAAGUGACUAUAAAUAUAGGGAGAUUAAGACAAAGAUCCUACCUUUAGUAACUCUAUAAUUGCCGAACUAUAUUUCUUUGCUGAAAUAUUAAAGUAGUUAUCUUUAUUAUAUGAUCUUUUGUACUUACAUUUCAUGCAAGCGUGACCAAUUGAAAAUCUUUUUACCAGCUACACUUUUGUUAUUCAAUUGAUGAUUGGUUCGCCAACCUAUCAUUACAUGGUGCCUCAUAUGUAACAGUUUAGUUGGUUUCCAUAGUAAUUGCAGAUUUCUGCAAAUAAGAGGGGUUCUUGUCCCAUAGUAAAGGAUACAUUGUCUCUCAACAAAAUGCAAAGAAUGCUGCACGAGAUAUACUCGCCCGUUCUCCCUCUACAUCCAACUAGUUGGAGCCUUGGAGCGCGCUUCGUGUAUGGUUUUAUUAGCCCUUAACAUAAAACAAAGUUUACACAAGCACAGACACGGCGGGCAACAUAAGACACGAUGAAUUAGAUCACCUAUAAAUAGUUCUUUGUUUUGGUUUCCGUUGAAAAUGGUCAGUUUGUCUAUCGGGUGCACUAUAAUCUUUUCAUUCACCCUUAUACCUAGGUUUUCUCCUCUCAGCAAACGCAGCAAGGCCUUCUAACCGAUCUUUUGUGUCUAACAGUUGUUCAUAGCAAUCCCACUCUAAAGCUAAGGCUGACUCCA
rnacentral:lncRNA from 1 species